AGUGGUUAAAAAAAAAACUAGUGGCUAGGAUUCAUGCCUUCACACACGCGGCGCACUUUUGAUUCCCGGCAUGGGAG